rnacentral:tRNA from 1 species
GCCCUCGUAGCUCAGGUGGAUAGAGCGUCUGCCUCCGGAGCAGAAGGUCGCAGGUUCGAGUCCUGCCGAGGGUACCA